rnacentral:rRNA from 1 species
AGUGAACGUUGGCGGCGUGGAUUAGGCAUGCAAGUCGAGCGAGAACCGUAGCAAUACGGGGACAGCGGCGAAAGGGACAGUAAUGUGUAGGUACCUACCCCCGGGUUCGGGAUAGCUGCGGGAAACUGCAGGUAAUACCGAAUAAUGUCUCCGGACCAAAGGUGUGAUUCCACCUGGGGAGGGGCCUGCAUCCUAUUAGCUUGUUGGUGGGGUAACGGCCUACCAAGGCGACGAUGGGUAGCGGGUGUGAGAGCAUGACCCGCGUCACUGGGACUGAGACACUGCCCAGACACCUACGGGUGGCUGCAGUCGAGAAUCUUCGGCAAUGGGCGCAAGCCUGACCGAGCGACGCCGCGUGCGGGAUGAAGGCCUUCGGGUUGUAAACCGCUGUCGUAGAGGAGGAAAUGCAGGGGGGUUCUCCCCUUUGCUUGACCUAUUCUAGGAGGAAGUACGGGCUAAGUUCGUGCCAGCCGCCGCCGUAA